GCACUGCUGAGGAGUCCCACAAUGGGACGAAACGGCCGACCAGUGC
rfam:Schistosoma mansoni, Puerto Rico, WGS project CABG01000000 data, contig: 0195